GUGAACGCUGGCGGUAGGCCUAACACAUGCAAGUCGAACGGCAGCACCGUAAGAGCUUGCUCUUACGGGUGGCGAGUGGCGGACGGGUGAGGAAUACAUCGGAAUCUACUUUUUCGUGGGGGAUAACGUAGGGAAACUUACGCUAAUACCGCAUACGACCUACGGGUGAAAGCAGGGGAUCUUCGGACCUUGCGCGAUUGAAUGAGCCGAUGUCGGAUUAGCUAGUUGGCGGGGUAAAGGCCCACCAAGGCGACGAUCCGUAGCUGGUCUGAGAGGAUGAUCAGCCACACUGGAACUGAGACACGGUCCAGACUCCUACGGGAGGCAGCAGUGGGGAAUAUUGGACAAUGGGCGCAAGCCUGAUCCAGCCAUACCGCGUGGGUGAAGAAGGCCUUCGGGUUGUAAAGCCCUUUCGUUGGGAAAGAAAAGCAGCAGGUUAAUACCCCGCUGUUCUGACGGUACCCAAAGAAUAAGCACCGGCUAACUUCGUG
rnacentral:rRNA from 1 species